UCAGAGGAAUUUGUCUAUUACUCGUAACUACUCGUUUAUUUUCACUUUUUUUCAUUUUCUAUACCGCCGUCUUAAGAUAAAAAUUCAAAUUUUUGUCUCAAGCUACUUUGUAAAGUCAGGUCAAGGUGGGAGAUUAUAAAAAAGUUUAGAUUAAUUAUUCCUAAAAUAUUAUUUAAAGUCAAUUUUCUAAAGAUGGUAAAAUAAAGAUUUGAAAGUAGCUUUUAAUCAAAAAUUAAAAGCGAAUUUGGUCUCANGUGUACAUAUCGCCCGUCACCCUCGUCUAAAGAUGAGGUAAGUCGUAACAUAGUUAGUGUACUGGAAAGUGUACUAAGGGGAAUUAAAAGCUUUAGCGUUUCAUUUACACAGAAAAGAAUGUUCCUUCAAUUUUUAUGAAUUUCCUUUUAUUUAAACCACUAUUCAUUUCAUUUAAUUUCUUCUUCCUUUUAAAUUACCGUAGGGGUAUUCAAAUUGAUUAUAAGAAAACUUUUUAAUGUACCUUNUUGNAUCAGGGGUGAAUCAAACUUCUUUUUUGAAAAAUAUUAUCCCGAAAUAAAAUGAGCUACUUAUUUUAUCAUAUUUUAUUUGCAAAAAAAUAGUAAAAAUUUAGUAGAAGUGAAAUUCCAUUACGUAUUUUCUUAUAUCUGGUUUUUUCAAAAAGUAUAAUUACUUAAACCUAAAAAGGGACAAUCUUUUUUAUAUAUUUAUUCUUCAUUUUUUUCACCCACUAAGGAUUAGAAGUGUCUUUUUGUGUAAAAACUUUUUUCUUUUAUUCAGAUAAAUUUUAUUAUGAAAUUCUUUUCCUUUUAUAGGAACAAUGACUCAAUCAGUAAAGAUCUAUUUUAACCAUUAUUUUAAAUAUCUUAAAACGAUUUUUCUAAUUUAUUUUCAUUAACUUGGCUAAGUUUUCUGACUGUUUACCAAAAACAUUUCUGAAUGACUUUUCUUUUCAGUAAGACCUGCUCAAUGAUAUUUUUUUAAUAGCCGCAAUUUACGUGCUAAGGUAGCAUAAUCAUUUGCCUUAUAAUUUAAGGCUAGUAUGAAAGGUUCAACAUGAUAACUUCUUUGUAAAUUUAACUUCCAGAAUUCUACCUACAAGUAAAAAGGCUUGUAUUUUCAAGGGGGACGACAAGACCCUAACGAGCUUCACUUAUCUAGUUGAACUGGGGUGGUAAAAAACUAAAUCUUUUAAUUUCGUUUCUCUUUAUCCUUAUUGUAAGAUUUUCAAGUUACCGUAGGGAUAACAGCAUAAUUUUUUUCUAGAGACCUUAUCUAAAAAAAAGAUUGUGACCUCGAUGUUGAAUUAAUU
rnacentral:rRNA from 1 species